rnacentral:rRNA from 1 species
GACGAACGCUGGCGGCGUGCUUAACACAUGCAAGUCGAACGGAAAGGCACUGCUUUUGUGGGGUGCUCGAGUGGCGAACGGGUGAGUAACACGUGAGUAACCUGCCCUUGACUUUGGGAUAACUUCAGGAAACUGGGGCUAAUACCGGAUAGGAUCUCCUGCUGCAUGGUGGGGGUUGGAAAUUUUCGGCGGUUGGGGAUGGACUCGCGGCUUAUCAGCUUGUUGGUGGGGUAGUGGCUUACCAAGGCUUUGACGGGUAGCCGGCCUGAGAGGGUGACCGGCCACAUUGGGACUGAGAUACGGCCCAGACUCCUACGGGAGGCAGCAGUGGGGAAUAUUGCACAAUGGGCGGAAGCCUGAUGCAGAAACGCCGCGUGCGGGAUGACGGCCUUCGGGUUGUAAACCGCUUUCGCCUGUGACGACGCGUGAGUGACGGUAAUGGGUAAAGAAGCACCGGCUAACUACGUG